rnacentral:rRNA from 1 species
AGCAGCCGCGGUAAUUCCAGCUCCAAUAGCGUAUAUUAAAGUUGUUGCAGUUAAAAAGCUCGUAGUUGAAUUUCGGGGUCAGCAGGUUGGUCGUGCCNACNGUANGAACUGGCUUCGCUGGUCUCUCCUUUCUGAAGAACUGUAAUGCCAUUAAUUUGGUGUUGCAGGGACACAGGACUGUUACUUUGAAAAAAUUAGAGUGUUUAAAGCAGGCUAACGCUUGAAUACAUUAGCAUGGAAUAAUGAAAUAGGACGUUCGAACCUAUUUUGUUGGUUUCUAGGAUUGACGUAAUGAUUAAUAGGGAUAGUUGGGGGCAUUAGUAUUCAAUUGUCAGAGGUGAAAUUCUUGGAUUUAUUGAAGACUGACUACUGCGAAAGCAUUUGCCAAGGAUGUUUUCAUUAAUCAAGAACGAAAGUUAGGGGAUCGAAGACGAUCAGAUACCGUCGUAGUCUUAACCAUAAACUAUGCCGACCUAGGGAUCGGAUGAUGUUAAUUUUUNAANGAGCUCA